AAUAAGGCUUUUGAAGGACUACAGGUACACUAAUAACAAAGCAAUGCAACAAGAGUAAACAGAACUAUUAUCACUUUUGCCUUUCUUCUACAAGAAUGUUUUUAUAUCCAUUUCUAUUCUCUUUAGACAUUUGUCAACAAAAAUUCCUGAUGUUUUGAUGAGCUGUGAAAAAGUGAAUGGGCUUUGUGAAAUUUUCUCUUGCAUUACCACUUCCAAUUUGCUUCAGAACUUUGUUCACCUCUGUCUGUAGAAAAAAAAAAAAAAAGGCCCUAGUUAUCAAAAAUAUGCUAAUAUUUAUAAAUGAAUUUGUGAAAGUAAGUGUCUGGUACUGAAUUCCUGGAAAUUGCUUCUUUUUGCCCUCCAAAUACAUUACUCCUCCACUUGCCAGGAUUCAAUAGCACUUAAUGUUGGCUGGUAUGUUGUGAUCUCUUGGUUUAAUCAUAACAAGACUUCCAGUAAGCUGAUCUACUGAGUAUACUUAUGAGAGAUGCAAUCUUUCUCUGAGACAAGAAGAUGUACCAGCCAAAGGCUGUUGUACCAGACAAAAAUAUUAUGAAUGCUUAAUGCAGUACACUUUCUUGAUGACAAGGAAGAAGAAAGGUUCACUUCUGAUGAAAAUUAAACACUGUUAUGCUGGGGAUUUGUUUAAUUUCUGUUUGGCUUUCUCAAAUUCAGGGACACCAAAAAAAGAAAGUAAAGCAUCAUUUGUUGUAUCAACAGAACACCCAUUGGCUUUUAUAAUGACUAUAUCGGCCAAUGAUGAGUGUUACAAGUUGAUGAAGCAAGUAGCCACCAAGAAUUACAGUGAAAAUGUCAGAAAUGUCUCUGAAGUCAUAGGUCUUUAGGGUGAUUCACACUCCCUCAGCACAUUCAUAUGCAUACAGCUUCAGAAAAGAAGUAUUAACAGUAACUAUGAGGAAAGAAGAUGCUGGAAGUAACAGGCUGUUCAGGUUGUUUUGUAAUUGUACAUUUAAUUAACAGUUACAUUCUCUACCUGUGGAAAUAUGAAUACCCUGGGAAAAAUAAUCCUCUCUAUCUCAUCUUGGUGCAAGGGAAAAGCUGAUUCAUUAGUUGCAGAGUUACAGCAUUCGUAUUACAGACAGGCACCUAGGAAAACUAAUUCUAGGUUCUCCUUAGCUUCCAUUUUCUGAUGAUCAAUAGACACCGGAAACCAUUCCUUUUGUAAUCUUUAAUAACAAGCAAGGAAAACAAUUGCCUCUCAAACACUCACACUGGGUUCCUAAGCAUCCACAACAAUAAGCAGUGCUGUUGAGACUCACCUUCUGCUUGUAAUUCACCCCAUAAGCCCCAGCCACAGCUGUGCAAUUGAACAGUUUAAUCAUGUGCACAAAUAGUUUGUUUCUUUAGAAAAGUUCUUUUAAAGCAUACACAGACAGAAAUGAACAGUGGGUUGCAGAAGUGGAAAUCAUUUUUUCUUUUUAUGAAAUCAGUGCUGUGAACCUUUGGAGACUUUUUUCUUGCACAUAAUUUUGUAUUUGCACGCUAGAAACAAUACAUUUUAAAAGACCUCAGGUGAAACCCUGCAUAAUGCUAAUCUGACUAAUAUAACAGUGUUAUAUAACCAUUUCAUGUGUCAAUAUGAAGUAAAUGUCUUUUUCUUUUAAUUCUUGCUAUGCUGUAAAUGUACAUUUUGUCUAUAAAAUAUUUUCCUAC
ensembl:lncRNA